GACACAAGAAACAAUUGAGUUUGAAGAGAAUUCCUAUUAAAAGGUUGAAACAAGACUUUACACACUGUUAAGGAAUUAUACUGGAUUGUAUACUGCCUGUGUAGGAUCCAUGGAAUAAUACAAUGCUGGCCAUUCAACUGACUGAGACGACUGAUCUUCACGAUUCCCAAACCCCCACUCCUGUGCCCAGCACGAGUGGCUGUGACAAUACACCCAUUUCCAUGUUAAUCUGGACCGUCGGAUAGUAAUGGUCUCUCAAUCUGUAAUAACCUCUCACUGUGUCAGUGAGACAUGAGCACCUCACCAUCAUUGCCCCAUCCUCAUUGGUGAUGCUUCUGAGCAUGUGGCCGGGGGUAUAAGACCAUGCUGCAAAACUGGAGGAGUUCAACCAAAGUGGGCAAGUCUAUGCUGAAGUUAGCAGCAAUAUGUAUGCAACAAGAGCUGGCUGAGGGAGCCUAAUGAACUAACAGAUGUUGCUCCUUAUUGCAGUUUGGAUUCUGAGCCAACUCAGCAAAGUCUAUUUCCCUUUAAACAACCCUUUUGGGAGUUCAUUUACAUCACCUCCUGAAACAUGUUUAGUGCUGGCUGAUUGCACAAAUAUAACGUGACCAGUGAUUUAAUGAUCAUAAUAAAGCAGAGCUUGCUCCACAUCGUUAACAACCCUGAGCUUGAGAAACACAUUGACACAGUGUCACAGGUCCCUGUAUGGGGAGGAUAUUAGUGUAACUGACUGAUGCCAGAAAAGAAAACCUGGUGACACAGAAGGUUUAACAAAAAAGUCACUUCAGGGUUCAAAUACAAAAGAGGACGUUAACCAUGGAACUGUGUGACUGGAUCGAAUCCCACUGUUUUGACAAAGUGAUGAAUUUUGCUUGGGAUCAACUUUAAGUCCAGAUGUACAUUAGAAUGUUGCCAGUAUUCAUCAAUACGGAAUGAAUUUCUCACACAUUGGCAAUGACACUGUGAUCCGACAGAAUCUCUUGUGGGAGUGAAGGAUGAGUAAUGUGCAAAACAAACAAGUUGCAGACUUGAUCAGGCCACAACACAAGGGUGCUAAUGAGGACCUUCCAACUCAAGCAAGUACUAAUGAACACAAAUGAUACAUGGCAUAGAUAGAGACAGGGGGUACAUUUACAUUUGAACCCAAUCCUGGGACAGAUGGUACUUGGCAUUUGUCGGCUAUGGCAUGAACAAAGGGAGUUAUACAAACAAUUGAAGACACUUUUGCUACUCCUGGAAUGGAAUAUCAAAACCAUGUUCAACAAUUAUGGACUGCACUCUGAAUGGAGGACGUGACAGAAUUUUCUGGAUAUGUGUCAGAAAGAUAUAUAAACCUGGAUCUGGCCUUGAGAUAGCAGCAGAAACUCUGCCAAAUCCAAGAUAAAAGGACACUCUACCUUGGCGGUGAUGCAAGAUUCACUUCUGGAGAGGAAGCCAGAGAGAGAGAGAGAGAGACCAUUGAACUUUGCAAGCUUCA